rnacentral:lncRNA from 10 species
GAGGACAUCCUUCCAUUUCCCUCCUACAGCCUGAGCGAUGAGCCCCAGUGGGCGGUGAAGGGAUGGGGGGUGGGGUCUGAGGGAGAAGGGCAUGGAGGAGGGGCUGACACGGAGGAGAGCUUGAGCAGGCCCAAGAAGACAGAUGCUGGCUCUCAGGCGAGUGUGGUGGGAGGAAAGCCGGAUGUCACAGGCGGGGGCCUCUGGCACCUGCCAGCUACAGGGAAGGCAGACAGCCCCGGGAGUGGGGAGAUCACCUUCCUUCUCCAGAAAACAACACACAAAAAGACUGAGUUCCUGGAGGUGACCUUGUGAAGCUGGGGGUGGGAAGCGCAAGUGGAAGAGCCGAGCUCUGGGUCAGGCAGCUGGGCCACGACCUCCACACCCAGGGUAGGGCUGAACACCCGUGAAUGUCGGGGGUUGUCUAUGCGUGCCCUGGCCUAGCUCCUCCUUAGCCAUCCGUGGCUGGGGUCUAGAGCCCCUGCAGGGACAGAGGCUGCUUCCAGACAUGGGUAUGCCGCAGACCACAGCCCCCAGCUCCCAAGUGCAGAGUCUCACAGGCCUGCCCACGUUGGCCCCAGCCCCACCCAGCUCAGCGUGUCCUGUCUCCUGGGGGCCUGGAACGGCCCUCCCAGGAAAGGAAGGGUGUAUGUACACUGAGCUCUAGGGGGAGCUGACAGCGCCCAUUCCUGUCCUGCUGCCUGCAUUAUUCCCUGCACCUAGAGCAGUUACCUAGGAGGCUUACUGGAUGAAUGCACCUAAUUGGACUCUAGCGUGCACUCUCCACUCUUCUUUUUUUUUUUUUUUUUUUUUUUUUUUUUUUUUUGAGACUUGAGUCUCGCUCUUUCGCCCAGGUUGGAGUGCAGUGGCGCAGUCUUGGCUCACUGCAACCUCUGCCUUCCAGGUUCAAGUGAUUCCUCUGCCUCAGCCUUUUGAGUAGCUGGGAUUACAGAUGCAUGCCACCAUGUCUGGCUAAUUUUUUGUGUUUUAUUAGAGACGGUUUCACCAUGUUGGCCAGGAUGGUCUCCAUCUCCUGACCUCAUGAUCUGCUUGCCUGGGCCUCCCAAAGUGUUGGGAUUACAGGCGUGAGCCACUGCGCCCAACCUCCCCACUCCUCUCCCGUCCACACCAGGCACUCUGCUGCUUGGCCUUUGGGCACUCUGCAGCCACCUGUACCUGUGUGAACUGGCACUUGCCUGGCGGUGUCUGUGAUCCACAGCAGCUUGCGUGAACAGA